GACGAACGCUGGCGGCGUGCUUAACACAUGCAAGUCGAGCGGUAAGGCCCUUUCGGGGGUACACGAGCGGCGAACGGGUGAGUAACACGUGGGUGACCUGCCCUCAGCUCUGGGAUAAGCCUGGGAAACUGGGUCUAAUACUGGAUAUGACUCCACGGUGCAUGUCGUGGGGUGGAAAGCCUUGUGCGGCUGAGGAUGGGCCCGCGGCCUAUCAGCUUGUUGGUGGGGNGAUGGCCUACCAAGGCGACGACGGGUAGCCGGCCUGAGAGGGCGACCGGCCACACUGGGACUGAGACACGGCCCAGACUCCUACGGGAGGCAGCAGUGGGGAAUCUUGCGCAAUGGGCGAAAGCCUGACGCAGCGACGCCGCGUGAGGGAUGAC
rnacentral:rRNA from 1 species